GUCAUGCAGCGUGAGAGCGAGUGGGUGUGUGCGCUGCUCUGCUGGUUAGAGUCAUUCUGGCAGGACCUGUGCUGCAGAUGGAUGUGUGUGCGUAGAAGACGGGACUGUGCCAUACCGCCGACAGGAUUGGUCACCACGUUGACGGAUCGGCGCCGGAUUGGCUCGGUCUGCUUGGAGGAGGACUUGAGGAUCAGAUCUGUCUUCUCUGUAACUUCAGGUACCGAUACUCAGACGCUGCCCGUCACCAACCCGUCGUCUCUGCACAUGUCCUGUUCACACUGCAAGAAGAACCUGAUUAAAGGCCAGAUGGCGUUCCAGAGGAAAGGUUCUCCUGCGUUCUUCUGCUCCACCAACUGCCUCACCACAUCGCUUCCCACCAUCAAAGGACCCACAACGAUCUGCCACAACUGCCAAAAGACAUCAUUCUGGCUCCGGAUGCUAAAAGAGCCAUGAAGGAUUUUUGCAGCCAGAACUGUCUGACCUCCUUCAACCAGAAGAGAAGCGCCUGCAACUACAGAAAGUCGAACAUCUCCAUAAAAACCCCGCAGCCAAUCGUACCACAAUCACUCUGCAGCAUGUGCACCAGAUACUGCAUCGAGAGUUUGAUGGCCUUCUGCUGGGUGACAGGGGUUACCAUGCCAACCCAGGCUGAUGACCUCAUACCCUGACCCUGAACCAGGCCCCCAACAGAACUUCAACCGGACUCACUGCAGGACCAGAGCCCGGGUGGAGAUGACCAUAGGCCUGCUGAAAGCCCGUUUCCAGAGCCUACGUCUCCUCAGGGUGACCCCUGAGAGGGCCUGUGAUAUUACUGUGGCAUGUGUUGUUCUUCAUAAUAUUACCACUAUUAGAGGAGAGCAACACCCUGCCCUACAAACUGAAGACCCAGAUGAUGAGCCCAUCCACCUGCAGCUAUCCAGGACAGCAGAGCAGUCAGAGACACCGUAUGCAAUAAUCACGUUAGAGUUUAAGUCUCCAUCAUCACCACCACAGCAAAUAAAGACAUGAUACACAUUUCA